UUGGAUCAAGCAGGAAUCCCCCGCUGAAACUUAAGCAAGUCAAUAAAGCGGGGGGGAAACUCCUUUUCCUUUUCGCUCGCCGUCUGACAUUUAGCUUCCCUCU
rnacentral:rRNA from 1 species